rnacentral:tRNA from 1 species
GUCCCUGUAGCGCAAUGGAUAGCACGUUGAACUUCUAAUCCAAAAGGUCGUGGGUUUGAAUCCCACUUGGGAUU